rfam:Vigna angularis cultivar Jingnong 6 chromosome 10, whole genome shotgun sequence.
CACCGCCCAUCGCUCCUACCGAUUGAAUGGUCCGGUGAAGUGUUCGGAUUGCGGCGACAUGGGCGGUUCGCUGCCCGCGACGUGGUGAGAAGUCCAUUGAACCUUAUCAUUUAGAAGAAGGAGAAGUCGUAACAAGGUUUCCGUAGGUGAACCUGCGGAAG